rnacentral:rRNA from 1 species
UACGUAGGUGGCAAGCGUUGUCCGGAUUUACUGGGCGUAAAGAGCGCGCAGGCGGUCUUGUAAGUCGAAUGUGAAAGCCCCUGGCUCAGCUGGGGAGGGUCAUUCGAUACUGCUCGACUCGAAGGCAGGAGAGGGAAGCGGAAUUCCCGGUGUAGUGGUGAAAUGCGUAGAUAUCGGGAGGAACACCAGUGGCGAAGGCGGCUUUCUGGCCUGUUCUUGACGCUGAGGCGCGAAAGCUAGGGGAGCAAACGGG